GGGGCUGUAGCUCAGUCGGGAGAGCGCCUCGUUUGCAACGAGGAAGUCAGGAGUUCGAGUCUCCUCAGCUCCACCA
rnacentral:tRNA from 1 species